rnacentral:rRNA from 1 species
AUUGAACGCUGGCGGCAGGCCUAACACAUGCAAGUCGAGCGGAUGACGGGAGCUUGCUCCUUGAUUCAGCGGCGGACGGGUGAGUAAUGCCUAGGAAUCUGCCUGGUAGUGGGGGACAACGUUUCGAAAGGAACGCUAAUACCGCAUACGUCCUACGGGAGAAAGCAGGGGACCGUCGGGCCUUGCGCUAUCAGAUGAGCCUAGGUCGGAUUAGUUAGUUGGUGGGGUAAUGGCUCACCAAGGCGACGAUCCGUAACUGGUCUGAGAGGAUGAUCAGUCACACUGGAACUGAGACACGGUCCAGACUCCUACGGGAGGCAGCAGUGGGGAAUAUUGGACAAUGGGCGAAAGCCUGAUCCAGCCAUGCCGCGUGUGUGAAGAAGGUCUUCGGAUUGUAAAGCACUUUAAGUUGGGAGGAAGGGCAGUAAGUUAAUACCUUGCUGUUUUGACGUUACCGACAGAAUAAGCACCGGCUAACUCUGUGCCAGCCGCCGCUGUAA